rnacentral:rRNA from 1 species
CAGCAGCCGCGGGAAUACGAGGGGGGCAAGCGUUGUUCGGAAUUAUUGGGCGUAAAGGGUGCGUAGGCGGUUUGGCAAGUUUGGUGUGAAAUCUUCGGGCUCAACUCGAAGUCUGCAUCGAAAACUACCGGGCUUGAGUAUGGGAGAGGUGAGUGGAAUUUCCGGUGUAGCGGUGAAAUGCGUAGAUAUCGGAAGGAACACCUGUGGCGAAAGCGGCUCACUGGACCAUAACUGACGCUGAUGCACGAAAGCUAGGGGAGCAAACAGGAUUAGAUACCCGUGUAGUCCCUGUCUCUUAUAC